rnacentral:rRNA from 1 species
AUUGAACGCUGGCUGCAGGCUUAACACAUUCAAGUCGAGCGGAGCGGCUGUCGGUUGUGUAAUGCUUAGGAAUCUGCCUCUUAGAGGGGGACACCAUUUCGAAAGGGAUUCUAAUUCCUCAUACUAAUAGCUCUUCCUAAGUCGGCUUAGCUAGUGGGUGGGGUAAAGGCCCACCAAGGCAACGGUCUGUAGCGGGUCUGAGAGGAUGAUCCGCCAAACUGGGACGGAGACACGGCCCAGACUCCUUCGGGAGGCAGCAGUGGGGAAUAUUGGACAAUGGGGGGAACACUGAUCCAGCCAAGCCGCGUGUGUGAAGAAGGCCUUAUGGUUGUAAAGCACUUUAAGCGAGGAGGCGUGACUCGCAGAAUAAGCACCGGCUAACUCUGUGCCAGCCGCCGCGGUAAUUC